rnacentral:rRNA from 1 species
UACGGAGGGUGCGAGCGUUGUCCGGAAUCACUGGGCGUAAAGGGUGCGUAGGCGGGUCUUUAAGUCAGGGGUGAAAUCCUGGAGCUCAACUCCAGAACUGCCUUUGAUACUGAAGAUCUUGAGUUCGGGAGAGGUGAGUGGAACUGCGAGUGUAGAGGUGAAAUUCGUAGAUAUUCGCAAGAACACCAGUGGCGAAGGCGGCUCACUGGCCCGAUACUGACGCUGAGGCACGAAAGCGUGGGGAGCAACAGGAUUAAGAU